CUUCAGUUCACUUCGUAUACUCGUUGAAAGCUGUGCCCGCUGCGGAAGCCACGGCAUCGCAUCGCCCCUGUGCCACACAGAUGCCCAUACAAAGGGCAGAAGAAGCAACAGCAACAGCAAAAGCAAAAGCAAAAGCACCGAGAACAGCAAAGGAAACCAACAAUAACAAGGCCGGAGCCGUGCGAGAGGACGAGGUUGAGACCUGCCGGCUGCAAAAGUGCGUUUCGAAAUUUUUUAAGGCACAAGAUCGUAGGAAAUUUUAAAGAAAGAAGUUCAAGACCGGCCUACAGAGCCGCCGCGUGCGUUUCGUGUCCGUACAUCGUUGUUUAUCCUUGAGGACGCAUCUGUGCGCGCGUGUGUGCGUGUGUGUGCGUGUGUGUGGCAGUGCAAUAAAGCCCCAGGGCGGAAAAUUUGCCAACGCCUCCAUGUGAGCCGUCGACUUUGUGUACGUGUACGUGUGUGCGUGGCCUGCCCUGCUCCAGUGCUCCAGUGCUCCAGUGCUCCACUGCUCGACACAUUGUCAGCGCAACUCUGUGAACGCAGCUGAAAAGUCAGCAGUGACAAAAAGUGAAAGCGGAAACGGAAACAGAAGCGCCAUAGAACCGAGAGGCAGCGGCAGCGGCAGACGCAGAGGCAGAGGCAGAGGUGGCAGCAACGUUAACUGCGACAACUGUGAAAUGUGCGGCUGCAUUGUUGUUUUGUUAGCACUUUGACCCAAAUCGCAUCGCACUUAACUGCACUGCACUGCAUAGGAUAGGCCAUCGUAUCCUGUACGAUAGCAUCCCAGGCCAGGUGUGUCAGUGAGCUGAUUUUGAGCGCGGACUUUUCACUGUCGAAAGAAAGUCGCGAGUGUCCCCCGAUCCGAUCAGAACCCGUAGGACUGUUGGCCACCUCUCUCACAUGCACCAGCAUUGAAGGGUUCGAAGUCACAGUUACUGAAAGGACACACUGAAGGACGCCUGCUGUUCUCUCGAAGGAC
rnacentral:sRNA from 1 species